rnacentral:lncRNA from 1 species
UAAAAAAUGGAGUUGCUCGAAUUAAAAGAUGUAAGAGCAGUACCUAACAUCAUUCAUGUCUACUUUGAGAAAUUCAGAUGGGGAUAUUCAAGUUGGAAAUGAUAUUGCGAAUAUUGAAGCGAUGAGGUUCUAGCUAAAAAUACAAUUUUAUAGAAAUGUGGUCACUCACUUUCAAGCCCAAGAACAAAUAUUUGAUUAUACAUUUACCCCCAUGGGAAUCGACACUGAGUGAUGCAUUAAUCACCCUGUUAUUUUAACUGAAACUUUUUUGAAUUGAAUCUAUUCUAGAAACUUGAUGGCAGAAUUAUUGUUUGAGUGUUACAACAUACCUUCUAUCACUUAUGGAGUGGAUUGCUUGUUUUCAUAUCAAUAACAUAAUACAAAAUACACAGGGUUAAAGGUGCCAUUCUCACUAACCUGCACCCACAAUCUAUCUCUCUAAUAUCUAUGCAUAUAUAUUUCAAUAUCGUUCUUUAUUCUUGCUGAUGCUAUCACAAAGUAAUCGUUCUUUUCUAGUUGUAAUGGAUGCUGAUGACAACAAUGAGAGCGGAUUUUCAGAGGAGGAAGGUAGUUCAAAAAAGCAUGUGGACGGUGGAAUACUUCAAAGCAACGGUCCUGAACAUAAUGGAAAGAGCCACUAACUGUACGCUGCAGUUCGUUUGUAUGUUGGAAAAGGAGAAGUCGAUGUUAUAUCUACGAGUAAUAUAAAAGAUUUUGAUUCAACAAAAUCGAUUUUCCCGUACGAUGCAUAUGUGGCUAAUGGGACUGAUGAAGAUGACCAAAUUGUGUACAAACCUGCAGCAAUUUUAGAUAUUACCGAUGAUCAGAAUAAACUGAUAAAUCGAUCCAAAAGAUGGCCCAAACCAAAGAAACGUAGGAGUACUGUUGUUCAUCAAUUGGCUGAAGAAGCACUACAGAAAGAAAAGUCAAACUUAAAUAGGAAUAGAAAAAAUCCAUCUAAAAAGAAUGGUCAUUAUGAAAAAUCAAGAGAAGAACCAGAUGUGACGGAUAAACUGAAUAUUUUGGAGAAAAAAAAAUUAAUUUUUAGGACCAAAGAGAAAUUGCCCGAAUCGACACUGUCCAGCAGCAUUGAAGAUGUGGAGAACAAAGAUGAGAUAAUAGCAAGAUUGACGAGAGAGUUAGAAAAGAUUCGUGGAAAGAAAAAUUUGUCUGAGACUCUUGCUGGCAAUGAUCCCUCAGAUUCUGAUCAAAAUAUACUGUCACACGUAUCUUCCACUGGCGCAGUUUCAGAUUCACCAGAAUCCCCUUCAUUGAUAUUAAAAAAGUCCUCCAAGAUAGAUCAGGAUAAGUUUUCUCGUAGUAGACGCGCAAAACGUCAAAAAACAGAUUCAUCAGCGUCUCCUGCCAUUACCCCACGAAAGCAUCAUAGAGUACAUUCGCCAGUAUCUCCUGCUGUUAUCCCAGGAAAUCGUCAAAAAAUACAUUUGCCAGAGUCUCCUGAUGUUUCCCCAGGAAAUCAAGACAGGCCGCAUUCAUCUCCAGUGUUUUGUUCUAACAGAAAAUCUGUUUCUAAACCACUUAAGCGUAACAAACGCCCACCACUAAAACCAGUUCGAUUAAUAUCAAAAG